rnacentral:rRNA from 1 species
AUUGAACGCUGGCGGCAGGCUUAACACAUGCAAGUCGAGCGGAGAUGAGGUGCUUGCACCUUAUCUUAGCGGCGGACGGGUGAGUAAUGCUUAGGAAUCUGCCUAUUAGUGGGGGACAACAUUCCGAAAGGAAUGCUAAUACCGCAUACGCCCUACGGGGGAAAGCAGGGGAUCUUCGGACCUUGCGCUAAUAGAUGAGCCUAAGUCGGAUUAGCUAGUUGGUGGGGUAAAGGCCUACCAAGGCGACGAUCUGUAGCGGGUCUGAGAGGAUGGUCCGCCACACUGGGACUGAGGCACGGCCCAGAAUCCUACGGGAGGCAGCAGUGGGGAAUAUUGGACAAUGGGCGGAAGCCUGAUCCAGCCAUGCCGCGUGUGUGAAGAAGGCCUUUUGGUUGUAAAGCACUUUAAGCGAGGAGGAGGCUACCUGGAUUAAUACUCUAGGAUAGUGGACGUUACUCGCAGAAUAAGCACCGGCUAACUCUGUGCCAGCCGCCGCGGUAAUAC